rnacentral:rRNA from 1 species
UGGGGAAUAUUGCACAAUGGGCGCAAGCCUGAUGCAGCCAUGCCGCGUGUAUGAAGAAGGCCUUCGGGUUGUAAAGUACUUUCAGCGGGGAGGAAGGGAGUAAAGUUAAUACCUUUGCUCAUUGACGUUACCCGCAGAAGAAGCACCGGCUAACUCCGUGCCAGCAGCCGCGGUAAUACGGAGGGUGCAAGCGUUAAUCGGAAUUACUGGGCGUAAAGCGCACGAAGGCGGUUGAUUGAGUCAGAUGCGAAAUCCCCGGGCUUAACCCGGGAAUUGCAUCUGAUACUGGUCAGCUAGAGUCUUGUAUAGGGGGGUAGAAUUCCAUGUGUAGCGAUGAAAUGCGUAGAGAUGUGGAGGAAUACCGGUGGCGAAGGCGGCCCCCUGGACAAAGACUGACGCUCAGGUGCGAAAGCGUGGGGAGCAAACAGG